CCCGCACAAGCGGUGGAGCAUGUGGUUUAAUUCGAAGCAACGCGAAGAACCUUACCAGGUCUUGACAUCCCCUGACAACCCGAGAGAUCGGGCGUUCCCCCUUCGGGGGGACAGGGUGACAGGUGGUGCAUGGUUGUCGUCAGCUCGUGUCGUGAGAUGUUGGGUUAAGUCCCGCAACGAGCGCAACCCUCGACCUUAGUUGCCAGCAUUCAGUUGGGCACUCUAAGGUGACUGCCGGCUAAAAGUCGGAGGAAGGUGGGGAUGACGUCAAAUCAUCAUGCCCUUUAUGUCCUGGGCUACACACGUACUACAAUGGCCGUUACAACGGGAAGCGAAGGAGCAAUCCGGAGCAAAUCCCUUAAAGGCGGUCCCAGUUCAGAUUGUGGGCUGAAACUCGCCCACAUGAAGGCGGAAUUGCUAGUAAUUGCAGAUCAGCAUGCUGCAGUGAAUACGUUCCCGGGCCUU
rnacentral:rRNA from 1 species